rnacentral:rRNA from 1 species
AACGAACGCUGGCGGCGUGCCUAACACAUGCAAGUCGAACGUGAUUGAGAGCUUGCUCUCAUGAAAGUGGCGCACGGGUGAGUAACGCGUAGAUAAUCUACCUGGUGAUCCGGGAUAACACCUCGAAAGGGGUGCUAAUACCUGAUAAGCCCACGGGGUCUUCGGACUCUGCGGGAAAAGGGGGGGACCUUUAGGCCUUCCGUCAUCAGAUGAGUCUGCGUACCAUUAGCUAGUUGGUAGGGUAAAGGCCUACCAAGGCGACGAUGGUUAGCUGGGCUGAGAGGAUGAGCAGCCACACUGGAACUGAGACACGGUCCAGACUCCUACGGGAGGCAGCAGUGGGGAAUUUUGCGCAAUGGGGGAAACCCUGACGCAGCAACGCCGCGUGAGUGAUGAAGGCCCUUGGGUCGUAAAGCUCUGACAGAGGGAAAGAAGUGCAGGGGAGCUAAUAUCUCCUUUGCUUGACGGUACCCUCAAAGGAAGCACCGGCUAACUCCGUGCCAGCCGCCGCUGUAACAC